rnacentral:lncRNA from 1 species
GAAGUUUAUUUUGGCUACAAUAUUUGCCUUUGGCAGUUUGAUGACAAUAUGCAAUGCUGCCUGCUACAGACAAAGGAAUAAACCAUCCCCUGAUGGAGAGGAACCCAAGGGUGAGUAAUGUUUAUUUUUUCAUGUGAUAUUGUUCUUGAAAAUAUUCCCCCUAUUAUAGAACAUUUCGAGCACCAUAACCACCACAGCCCACUGUAGUUGUUAUGGUGCUGUGUUAAGUGAAGGUAGCGAGGCCUUUACCAUUUAACCCCAGGGGAAGUACGUGUUGUAUGUGUGGUGUGCAACACAAAGCUACGUUUAGUUAUGGGCCCCUGGGGCGGAGCAUUUGGAGAGCAGGGUGGGCCAAUGCUCCACUCCUCAGUUUAUACACAACUGGGAGAAAUCAGGUCCAGGCAAGAGUUUUUUUGAACUGUCUCCAACCCACUGCUCAGCUGCAGAUAAUCAGCUAUAGCAGUGAGAAUAAACCCCUCCCUGCUAGGCAGGUAAAGGGGGAUUGCUGGCUUCCUCCCUGGAAGCAGGUAGGAGAGAGGCUGUUCUCUCCAGUGAGAGAAUCAAGGAGACUGAGCACUGGGAGUGCAAAAGGAAAGCAGUCAAGGCUGGCUUGGAGCACUGGAAGUGCAGAAAGGAAAGCAGUUAAGGCUGGCUUGGAGCACUGGGAGUGUAGAAAGGAAAGCAACAGGCUGACUAAGCACUAGAGUGCAGAGAGCUGACAAAGACACUAGGUUGGUGAAACCAAUAUUGUUUUGUUCUAGGUUAACCCAUGAGAGUCAGGGAACCUGAUGUUAGUAAGUGCUCAGACGAGCUAGGUUUUUGUUUAAAGGGAUUUGUGUUAUAUUUUAUGUUUUCAUUUGCUGCUGUCUCCUGUGUUGACUUACAAAUAAAGGGCCUGGAUUAUAUGAAAAUAAAAGGACUGUGCCUGUUUUUACCCUAGAGGACCAUGCUACCUGCAGACAAGGAUCACAGUGCCAAGAGUGUCCUGGUGCUCCACCAAUUUAAGUAGUCAAAUUAUUUGCUAACAGUUUUACAACUUACCUGGGGUCCACCGUGUGCUGGUAAAUUAGCUCUCCUGAGAUAAACCCUGCUGUGCCGGGCAAGCUCAUUGGUUGAUAUCAUCAGAUGAUUGCUGAGCUAAGCUCUCCACUGCACCUGGUUUGAUUACUUAAAUUAGAUGGGAACCAGGGUGUUCUGGCACCACAACCUUCAGAGUAACACCAUCAACUGCAGAAUAUUUCCAAACCCCUGGCACAAAAUAAUUAAACUUUAAUUGCAUAGGACUAAACAAUAGGUGAAAUAAAACACCCUUUUAUAAGCCCUCUUUUGAUAAUUCUAUUCAAAUUUAAAUAACUUUCCAAUUUCUGUGAUCAUUAGAUCUCUUUUAGGAUCAAACAAUAAACGAUGACUGUUGUUAGGAGAGAGUAUGAAUGUAAGGAAUAAGGUAUUACACUUAUUGCUAGGUAGACGUAAAAGAUUUUGGCCAGCUGUUAAUACUAUAGCAAGAAAUACAUAUGCAUCUGUAAUUCACUGUUUUAUUUGAGAUAACAUGUUUUUGUCUUGCUCAAUUUCUCUCCAUUGUUUUUGCAUUUAUCCUCUUGCUUUCAUUUCUCACCUAUGGCUCCCCAUGGGUGGGUGUGUGUGUGUGUGUGUGUGCGCACACACACUUUUUUCACUCUUUUUUUUUCUCUUUCUCUCUUUUUUUUUUCUCUCUCUUUUUUUAAAUUUUUUUUUAUGGUACUAUUAAAAUGAAUUGUGUUUUGAAGGUUGUUUGGAUGAAAAUGGUGUGCUCCAUGAAUUUAAUACUCGGUGGAGGACAAAAGAUUGCUUUGACUGCAGUUGUGCAACUGCUUUGAUGUCCUGCUGCUUAGCGUAAGUUGCAAUAAUUUCUUUUGAUUCAAUUAAGCAGACCAAAUUGUUUACACAGGACUUAGAAUGUGGGAUAUCCAUUGAGGGAGUACAUGAUUUCAGAUUUGCUCCUUCAUGCUCUUGCAAAUAUCAUACAUUAUGGCUAAAUGGGAAAAGCAGAACUGUGAGGCCAGAAUUAAAGGGGUGUAUAUAAAAACAUAAUUUGGGUUGGGAUGCGGGAUUGUGAUGCAAGUGUCAUGUUCCUCCUGUGUGGUCACGAUUAUAAGAGUCAGUACUGUGUUAUCACCUUUUGUCAGUAUCUGUCACCAAAUAUUACUGAGACUCUGGAACAUGGCUUUCAGUUAACAUUUUAUUCAGUCUAAGCACAUAUCCAAUACACUAGCUGAUUCCUCCGUAACAACUCAAAAUUGUUUCCAACUGUCACACACCGAGACCUAGACAUUCCAGGAGGGGUGUCCUGCUCAUCUUAAAGCUGCAGUCAAGAUGCAUAUAAAAUAAAAACUCUGAAAGAUUUUGGAUAACAGUGUAAGAUUCAACAGAAAUAUAUAUAAAACAGUAACUCAAACGUAAACUAGAACAGUUCAUCUGUAUAGUUAACGUUCAUGUAAUCCAGGGUGUGAUCCAAAUUUACAUGGACAUAUUGAGGGUGGUCUUCUUUGCUUAGAUGGUCGUAGAGUAUUUGGUUCAGAGGUGGUUGCAGGAAUCUGGUGUCUGGAGGAAUAACCAAUGGUUGUGAGUCAACAAUGGUUGUGCAUUUUGUUGCUGAAUGAUAUCAUUCUGAUGCUGUUCUGUAUCCUAUUUGGACAUAGUAUUUUCAUCCUUAUGUCACUCUGGUGGACACCAUACUCUGGUAUAUGAAUCCUGGGAUUGUAUUUUAAUUGGUAGAAAUGUAUAUCAUAUCUAUUGAACAUUCUGUUACCAAUGCCUUGUAUUAUGAUCGUUAGAAUCCAUUUAUCCUGCCCAUGGUAGUUUCUAAUCAAUAAUAUAUAUGAAUGUAUAACUCUGGAACACUAGAAGUGUUCAAACUCUCUUUAGGAUGUUCUGGCCAAACUUGAUUAAGAGGAGUUCUCUAGCUUCUUACAAACAUUAACACAAUUGUAGGACAUGGUGUGUUCCAACAGUUAAAUUUAAAAAAAAUGGAAAGUGUCUCUGGAAUAAAUUUUGCUUUGUGAGUGACAACUAAAUUACAUUUCAGAGUUUGUACAAAUUGUCCAAACUGUUGAUUAAAGGCAAGUGUAUUCCAAAAUUAAAUGAAAUUUCAAAGUAAAAUGCAAAUAUCUUGAUAUUUCUACCCUUAAAUGAGCUAGAUACCUAACUGAUUGAAUAUAUUAAUAAAAUCAAAAUCAAAAGAUGAGGUUCUGUUCAAAAGUUUUCAGAAACCUCCAUCAAAAGAUGUAUGCAAAAACAAGUUUUGCAAGUUCACGAGUGCUCCAGAAUCAUGGGGCUGUAGCUUAGUAUAAUGAACCCGUUAAAUACAAUGUAUCUUAACUGUCAUCUGCCUAAGAUAAAGAGAGAAUAUUGUUUUCUCUUGAUUCAUGUGCACGUCUAAUAAAGGUUAGCUAUAUAGACCUAAAGUCACUCAGCAUAUAUCUAUAUUACUGCUUCAUUAAGCCAUCAGAUACAAUUAUUCUUUCUCAUAACACUGUAGCUAAAUAAGCCCUAAUCAGAUUCAUGAGUAGUCUCGGGACAACGGUCUCCCCUGACGAGCGCGUUUCGCCUCAGCUCAUCAUCUCAGGGGAGACCAUUGUCCCGAGGCUACUCAUGAAAGACCAUUUACAUUGAGGUCUCGAGACUUCGGGAGCACUUUAUCACCCUAGCUUUUCGCAAACAAUAUUAGGAAUUACUGGCAGCGCUAGUCUGCAAUUUUGUAUCUAUGUGACAAGUCUGAUUAGGGCUUAUUUAGCUACAGUGUUACAUGCUUUAUUUGCUCUUACUCGUGUCAGUGUAUCCAACACUCACGAGAAAGAAUAAUUGUAUCUGAUGGCUUAAUGAAGCAGUAAUAUAGAUAUAUGCUGAGUGACUUUAGGUCUAUAUAGCUAACCUUUAUUAGACGUGCACAUGAAUCAAGAGAAAACAAUAUUCUCUGUUUAUCUUAGGCAGAUGACAGUUAAGAUACAUUGUAUUUAACAGGUUCAUUAUACUAAGCUACAGCCCCAUGAUUCUGGAGCACUCGUGAACUUGCAAAACUUGUUUUGAUGCAGGUUUCUGAAAACUUUUGAACAGAACCUCAUCUUUUGAUUUUGAUUUUAUUAAUAUAUUCAAUCAGUUAGGUAUCUAGCUCAUUUAAGGGUAGAAAUAUCAAGAUAUUUGCAUUUUACUUUGAAAUUUCAUUUAAUUUUGGAAUACACUUGCAGUACUUUUUUAUCUGAUGACAUUUAAUAAAAGUUAUAUUUUAAGGGUACUCGUUUCUUUUUUUCUUCCACUAAUUUUAGUAUCUAGGGUUACCCCCUUCCUCGAGUUUCCCUUUUUCAGCUUCCUUCCUUUUUGGUAUUCAUUGUUGAUUAAAGGCUCAUACAUAUGAAGAGUCUUACAGUGUAGGAUAUUAUUUGAAUCACGAAAAGUUCCUGUGAUGCAAAUUGUGCACCAUUGCUUUAGGUAGUCCAAUCUUGCAUACGAACUGGAAAGUAUGACGCUGGUUUGUUCUGUUGCAGUACUUGAUAUUCAAACCCCUUUUGGUUACACAGAGAGCAUCCACAGCUUCAAAAUACAUUCAUCCAUCCACUGAUCCUGCAAAAUCAGGAUUCUUGUCCAAGAAUCAGUUGGUAAUGGCCAAGCCUUGCAGGAAUCCCUGGUCAGAUUCCGUGAAUCUGUGCACAUGCAUUGCAAGCAGCUACACGAGAAGAUAUAUCUGUAUUCAAUGCAGGCCACCCAAUAUAUUCCCAUGAUCUUUGCUUCAUUUUUACUAUAGCCUGAUGUGAGCUGUGUAGUAACUUUAGAGCUUACGUUUGCAGCCAAGUAGGAUUUAUUACUUGUGAACCACAGAAAAGACAGCCUCAGUCUUUACAAUUUGAGUUGUCUUGGAAAAACAGGGUGGAAUAUCAGUGUAACGGAUCACCUGGCACCCCAACUGGGUACCUCCAUUGAUGGAUGCUCCUAGUGCUUCACAAGGGCUCCAAGCACUCCACUUGACAUCAUAAACACUGAAGACCCCACGAACCGCUGCAGCUUGGUUGGGGUCUCGCUGUCUCCUACCCACCCUGGACCUACGACAAGGCUCCAGGAUCCAGUGGGUAAACUUCUCUUUUCCCAGAGAGUGAAGCAGGAACAAGCUCUUACAAGAGCUUAGUGAAUAUUCAAGCGAGUAUGAAGAGCAUAGCAAUCCCUUGUAGCAGAUUCCACCCAAUAAGAGAAAGGACUUUAGAUUGAGGGUUAAGUAGAACAGAAGGUUUAUUGCCGCAGCCUGGAAUAUAUACAGUUUUUCAGGCCAGAGGCACACCCCCUGGACCUGAUGGAAAACAGGGACAAAAGGAACAUAAACCAAGAAAAACAUAGUUUUACAAAUAAUCCCACUCCUCCGUCUGUGAUAUAAUUAACGUAGACAAUGGACUAACUGUAAGUUGAAAAAAACAUACAUUUUUACAAACCCCAAAAAGUACUCCAAAAUACAACAUAUCCCCACAAAAGUGAUCACCGAUCUGGAUGAACAACAUAUACAAAAAUCACCCAGAUCGGUUCAGGGGUUCAGGAAUUUCCUGGAAGUCUUAUUUUUGCCCCACCGUGCACAUGGUCCCAUGCCCAAAACAGUUCCAUAAACUCGACAACAAAACACUGCUGGACAAUUUAAGAUUGCCACAGCCACAUGUUUGAAUCUGUUCCAGUUAAAAGUCCAAGGGGCAGAAACAGUACUUUUGAACAUGGGUUAUCACAGGGCCCAUAGUCCCAGGCCUCUCCAAAAACCAGUGGCAAGGUCACUUUCGCCACAAUCAGCGUGAACUACUUUAGGUCACCCACUUUGAAAAAAAGACUUAAUCUCCUGAAACCUAGAAUACAAGCAUGUAUAAGUAGCAAUCACCUUGGAAUUUAGAUUCAACUGCUGAAGAGGAGUCAAAUCGCUGUUGUGUUAGCGAUACCCUUCUGAGGGUAUAAAAUGGACAAUAGUGGUUUAUGAUCCACGAUUAUAGUAAAAUGUCUGCCAUAAAUAUAAAUGUGAAAUAUCUUCACAACCCAAAUUAUUGCAAGAGCUUCCUGAUCAAUCGCGUCAUAAUUUUUCUAAGCCAGAGAUUUGGAUGCAAGGGACACAGGACAUUCAGAACCAUCAAGCAUAAUGUGUGGAAGCACUGCAAUCAAACCAUAUGGGGAAGCAUCAUAGGUUAGUACCAAAGGUUUCUUAAAGUCAUAGUGGGCAAGGAGCCUUGAUUCCACAAAAAGUUGUUUGGAGAACUCAAAUGCCUUUGCACAUGAUAUUUUACUAUCUAAAAGACCGUGCAGUGCAUGUAUAAAGUGAGACAAAUUCGGUAAGAAUCAGUGAUAAUAAUUGAGAUGUAGCUGAGAUACAUUGACAGGUGUGGAAGCAUUAACUAGCCCUUUCACCUUUUCCUUAGCUGUGUGGACACCAUUAUUUUCCACAGCAUGCGCACAAUACUUCAAACUGUCAUGUAAGAACUCAAAUUUCUGUAUGUUUACUUUAAAUCUGAAUUCCUGUGGGAAUUGUAUAACAUGUUCGAUAUUCGCUUUAUGAGCUACAUCAUUUUCACCAGUAAUAGGGAUGUCAUCUAACAUGUAAUGGGUGUGUUGACAUACAGAAGGUGCUGGGGCAAUUCCAAACACCAUCCACAUAUACGGAAAAAGUCCUUUUGUAAGUGUUGACAAAGUUAACAAGUACCUUGAGUCUGGAUGUACCUCCAACUUUAAGUGUGUUUGAUGUUAGUCAGUUUUGCUAAUUUUUCUCCACCUGCAAGUGCAUUAAACAAUUCUACGAUCUGUGGUAAAGGAUAUUGAUCAGCAACCUAUUGGGUUAACUGCCACGGUGAAAGCUCCCCCAAAAUUGAAAUCUCCCUUUUGUAAACCAGAAUGAUAGUGCCUUGAUUUAAUUCUUUCAGAUCUGCUUCAAUUUUAGUUUUCAGUGCAAAAGGUACAAUUCUUGAUGUACAAAAUGUUUUAAUAGCAUUUGCCUUUACGUGAAGUCAAAUUUGCUUGCCUUUGACUAAACCUAGUGUUCCAACAAAUACAGUUUUAUACUUUUGGUUUAGUGUUUCAAUCCAAGUAGAAUAUGAAUUGUUAUUGUGGUCUAUUAGUUUAGUAAGAGGUAACCAUUUGUGGUAACUUUUGCAUGCCUAUAGCUUUGAUCCAGGAUCCACCAAACAAUGGUGGUCCUCCUUUAGGUAAAAUGUAGAGUAGUAGUGGUUCAGUUAUUUUUUUUUGUUCUAUUAAAUCACAUAUGAGUUUCACAUGACAUUGAUAUUAAAUUGUACACAAUGUAUUUCGCUUAUUCAUAUUAUAAACUCAUAUACACAUAUAACAUAAAUUCAAUUAUACACCAUUUUUACCUGGAUGGACGCGAGAUGUUACCCAUUGAUAAUAUAAACAGAAAAAAAACCAACAACUUUUAUAAAAAAUUUUUUAUUAAAAAGUACUUUCAAUAAUACUUUGCAAGUUUUUAAGAAUACUGCUUUCCUGUCUUGCUUUAACGCUUGUCCAAAACAGUCCAUGUUCCAUUCUGCACUGAAAGAGUAUCUGUUCACACAGUUGUGGUCACUAAAUGUCAUCUAUUUUAUCCCAUUUUCUAGCUAUUAAUAUUUUAGCGAAAUAUCAACUGGGUCUGAUUUUUAUUUAGCCUUGGCCAUUUUAGAUGCAAGAACGCAAUUUCAGGUUUCAGCUCAAUAAUAACAUUGCCAAUCAAAUAUAAUUUUUCAAAAACCAUAUCCCACAUCUUUUUGAUUAUAUUACACUUCCACCAAAUAUGAAGAUAAUCCCCCGGCUUUCCUACAUCUCCAACAUUUAGACCUAUAAGUAUUCAAAAACGUAGCCAGCCUGGCAGGAACAGAAUACAAAAAUUGUAUCAGUUUUAAUUGGUUUUCCAAAAUAUUAGUGCUAUGAAUAGAUUAAAGACCAGUGUAUGGGUGAAGCGCUAUAUACCAAAGUGGAGAAAUAAUGCCCCGUGAUGAACACCAGAACACUGAAAAAAUACCUUCUGUUUAUAUAGUUCACAAUAAUCCUUUAUAGGAAUUUCCUAAAAGCAUAAACAGAAAAAUACAACCAUAGUGCAAAUCUGUAAUAAUAAAAGGUGUGGUAGAAAUAUACAAAGGUCCCACUCACACUUUUAGGAGCUAAAAGGGUAUAGCUCAAUUGAAGCACUUUCAGAGUCCGUAGAGGUGACUCUUAUCCCUUCUUUUAACUCUUCCUUUCUUAUAUUCUGGAAUGUAUAAAGGGAAAUACCUCUGGUGCAAUAACGUAGGCUGGAUGUGUAUAUAAUAGAAAGGGAAAUAGGGUACUUACAAACCCAGAAUAGAUUCAUUAUAUAUUUUUAAUGCCUCAGAUCAUUCUUUGGAAUGGAAUUCCAUCUGCAAAAUUUUACCCCAUUUUCCCCUGAUAUCCUGAUGUUUAUUAUCAUAUUUUAGACUUAAAUAACUAUAGGCUUCAGACAUUAUUUUUGUAUAAUAAAUAAAUAAAUAUAUAUAUAUAUAUAUAUAAAAAUAUAUAUAUAUAUAUAUAUAUAUAUGUCUAAGUAUAUAUAAUUUUAUUUUAAACUUUAUUUUAACUUUUUUCAGGCAGCAGGCACUCUCCCUGCUGGCACUGCAGUGGAUGGCUAUGCCGUCCAUGUGAUCGUGAGAUCCUCACAAGGACCUCGCAAUCACAUGGCCCAGGAGGACCGGAAUGGCAGCAUGGGUACUCCCUGGAAUGCCAGGUGAGUCCCCCCACCGCGAUCGCUGGCGUGGGAUUGCUAGCAAGUGGGUAAGUACAUAGGACGGCGGGGACAUGCUAUGCCGCCCCUGGUGUUUAGAGCUGGGUCUCCAAGAACGGCAUAGCAUGCCCGCCGUCCUUAAGGGCUUAAUCUAUACUGUAAAGUAUCUUAAAUUAUGCACUAUAAUAUUAGUUUUAUAAUAGUUUCAUCAGUAAUUAUAUAUUGCACCAUCUCAUUGUGAUAUUCUCUGUAUUAUAUUGUGCCGUUACAUCCUAUCAUUCUUAAUUUAAACAGUAUUAUCAUAUAUAUUGUGUACUAUUACUACUAUUUCUAUUUUUUAAAAUAUAUAAGCAAUUAAUUAAUUUAUAUCUACAUUCUCUGGGGGUCUUCAGCUUUUCCCCCUGCUCUCAGCAUGCGAUUCGUAUACCAUUGUAUACGUUUAUCCAGUCAGCCUCCCCCUUUCAGUUCCACUGCAAUGGUUUUCACCUCCAUGGCAUCACUUCGUGUCUGCCUCACCGUCCACCAGGGAACACUCCUGUCUCCUUUCAGGCUUAGCUCAACUGCCUGCAAUGAUUUUUACCUCCACCACGUCACUUUGCAUCUGCCUUACCAUCAGGGAACACUCCUGUCAUCUGCCGCGUCUGACUUCCUAUCCGCGCCCUGGUUGUUGCACGUGCGUCUCACGUCAUCACGUCCUCAACAAGUAGUUCAGUUAUUCUAGUAAAUAUCCCGGUAGGUGAUACACACCCAAUAGGUUUUAUUAUCUCAUAUGAAUAUAUUUGCUUAGGAACAAUUGGGUGUUCUAGACCCAGUCAGCAUCUAGCGUCCUCCUCCCCCGGCCACAGGUAAGAGGCAGGGAGGGGACAUAAACUUACAUUAUUAUACAUUUUAAAAAAACCUGCUCCUCCCCACAGCCUUUAUCCAACACCACAAACACACACGGUAUCCAAUUCACGAACACUCACACUACAUCCACUGCAUAAAGACUGCAUGCACUACACAAAUACAGACACUGCAUCCACUAAACAAACACAUACACUACAUCCACUAUACAAAGACUGCAUCCACUACACAUUGCAUCAACUUUCCUCACAUACUCUUUCUGCAUCCACUACACACACACACACAAACUGCAUCCACUCUCCAGUCACACAUUGCAACCACUCUACACACACACACACAAACACACACACUGCAUCCACUAUAAACACACACUGCAUCGACUUUACAUAUACUUGUGGGAGGACUUGGAAGUGAACCCUGGGUGCCCAGGCCUUGAGCCGUGUAAGGGCCCCAACAUUUCUCAUGGCAGCCCUGCAUGUAUUUGUCAUGUGGCAUUUGAAUAAAAACAGAGAAUAUUUUUUAUUUAUUAAAGUUGCGGUCUUUGAGUUUCUGCUGUGUCCAUAGCAGUCACAUCGUGCUAGAGCAAUAAUUGCUAUUUCUAUUGUGUCAUGGAAUAUUUAUAAAAAUAAUAAUUUUGUGAAUAUGUUUCUAAGAUAUUGAAGAGCGCCAUUGCAAAGAGCCACAUGUGUACUGCAUUCAUGCAUGCAUUUUGCUUUUUUAUUUUAAGUAAUGAUGGAUUUGGGGUUUAAUAUUUCAAUAGUGGUAAAUAUAAGUCAGCUAACAGUCACAUAUGGCAAAGAGUGAUAAAUAUGAUAGCGGUAAGUAAUAAUAGAAAAUGUAGGUUAGUGUGUUCAGGAUACAUAAUUAAACAAGUAGUUUGACUAUAUCUCACUUUUGAUAUUUAAUAUUUCUAUUAUGUUCCAGUCAUUUUGAACCUGUCAACUAUGAUGAAAAUGAAUGUUUUGUCAAGUAUGAUAAGGAUGCUUGCACCGUGGAAGUACUACAAAGGAAGAAUCCUACAAAGCAGUGCGAGCGCUAUGCAAUGAUUGGCUAACGAUGAGGUCAGCAUGAUCCAGAUUCCGUCCUUAAGCCUUCUCUGAAUCUACUGAAACAAUGACG